GUGGGGAAUAUUGGACAAUGGGCGAAAGCCUGAUCCAGCCAUGCCGCGUGUGUGAAGAAGGUCUUCGGAUUGUAAAGCACUUUAAGUUGGGAGGAAGGGCAGUAAGUUAAUACCUUGCUGUUUUGACGUUACCGACAGAAUAAGCACCGGCUAACUUCGUGCCAGCAGCCGCGGUAAUACGAAGGGUGCAAGCGUUAAUCGGAAUUACUGGGCGUAAAGCGCGCGUAGGUGGUUUUGUAAGUUGGAGGUGAAAUCGCCGGGCUCAACCUGGGAACUGCCUCCAAAACUGCAUGACUAGAGUACGGUAGAGGGUAGUGGAAUUUCCUGUGUAGCGGUGAAAUGCGUAAAUAUAGGAAGGAACACCAGUGGCGAAGGCGACUACCUGGACUGAUACUGACACUGAGGUGCGAAAGCGUGGGGAGCAAACAGGAUUAGAAACCCCAGUAGUCC
rnacentral:rRNA from 1 species